UUCCGGUUGAUCCUGCCGGAGGCUACUGCUAUUGGAAUUCGAUUAAGCCAUGCGAGUUUAAAGGACUUCGGUCCUUGGCAGACGGCUCAGUAACACGUGGAGAACCUGCCCUCAGGAGGGGGAUAACCCCGGGAAACUGGGAAUAAUACCCCAUAGGUCUAGAAUGCUGGAAUGCUUCUAGGCUCAAAGCUCCGGCGCCUGAGGAUGGCUCUGCGGCUUAUCAGGUUGUAGUGAGAGUAACGUCCUCACUAGCCUAUGACGGGUACGGGCCCUGAGAGGGGAUGCCCGGAGAUGGACUCUGAGACACGAGUCCAGGCCCUACGGGGCGCAGCAGGCGCGAAAACUCCGCAAUGCUCGAAAGAGUGACGGGGGGAUUCCAAGUGCCUACGCUUAGCGUAGGCUGUUCAGAUGCCUAAAAAGCAUCUGGAGUAAGGGCUGGGUAAGACGGGUGCCAUCUGUGGCAGCAGCCGAAGAUUUGGCUUGUUGCUGCAAGGCAUAAGCCGCCGCGGUAAUACCCGCAGCCCGAGUGGUAGUCGAUUUUAUUGGGCCUAAAGCGUCCGUAUCCGGUCUGAUAAAUGCCUGGGUAAAUCGUCUGGCUUAACCAGACGAAUUCCGGGUAGACUGUCAGACUUGGGACCGGUUGAGGAAGAGGGUACUUUAGGGGUAGGAGUGAAAUCCUGUAAUCCUUGAAGGACCACCAGUGGCGAAGGCGCUCUUCUA
rnacentral:rRNA from 1 species